AAAGGACACUUGGUUCCCAUUUGAAUGCGGACAGUCUGUUGAAAAACAUGUUCUCCAAACGUAACAAAUAUGUUGUCAUUCAAGAAAUGAAGCAUCUUGGUAAUGCCGGUUUAGAGAACUUUUUGUCUGAAUCAGAGUGAUCAGAGUUUAUCCCUCCCUAAGACAAGAUACUUGUAUCUACGUUGGCUUUAUCUUAUGGAACAAAACAAUACCAA
rnacentral:lncRNA from 1 species